GAUUUCUUCCUCACCAUGCAGGGAUGGGCAGCCUUGGACUGAGAGGCUGAGGGGUGUGGCUGGGGUUGUGUGUGAGUGUGUCUGAGCCUUACCCAAGAGGGUCUUCUAUUCCCUCCCAGAACAGUGUGAGGGAGCUCAACCUGGUGUGCCUUGCUCCUCCCCAUAGCUCUGUCCCUGGGGACAUUUGGAGGAGCAUGGGGCAGCACCGCAGCAAUCCUCACAGACCGCGCCUGUGGGAGCGUUGAGCUGUCAGGUGUAGACAAGCGGGAAAUGAUGUCUUUGAUUGAGGGUUAUAAGGCCUAAGAACUGGAGGGCUGGAGAGACAGCUCAAUGUGUAAGAGCACUGGCUACUCUUUGAAAGGACCCAGGUUCAAAUCCCAGCAUUUACAUGGCAACUCCAGUUCCAGGAAGUUCAACACCCUCACGUGUACAUACAUGCUGGCAAGCCACCAAUGCACAUAAAAUAAAAACAAGUAAGUCAUUUAAAACAAGGGCUAAGAACUUCUGAGCAUAAGGACCUCGGCCUUAGAGAGUUAGGAUUUAUGGGAGAUGGAGUUUGACCUGAGAGGAAAUGAUUAUCCAGAGACUGACAGGGUAUUGUGUGCCUCUGACACUGUGACCCUGAGGAGGGUAGUGAGCAGGGGGUCUUGUGUCCUCCCUGAGUCAGUUUCUUUUCCACAGUGUUAAAGUGCCAGCAGGCCUUCAGCGCUCCCUGGAGUCCUCCCCUACAGGGGUAGCUGUUGAAGUCUUUGUGGUCCUGCCCUUCCUGACCUUAGUCUUCACCAUGGAGAAAAUGGUUGUUGCUGCUCAAGCAAGUGGGACCUGGUGGCUCUGAGCUUAAGGCUGUGAAAACAGUGUUUCGUCAUGAAGUAAAUGUUCUGUUGUCCCAGGAACACUUCCCACCCCUUCCCCUGUGGGUGGGGUCAGCAGUGUCUCCUGCCUGCUCUGGAGCCACCUUGGUUCUCUGGACUCUUCUUUCUGGGCCUUCUCUGAAGACUACUGACCUGACUAGACAUCUCUUGUCUCUCCUACCCACAAGCCUCCUCAAGUUGGCCCAGCAGCCCUGCCUCUGCCUCCCUACAUGCUGAGGUGUCUGCAAUCACCUAUCCUUUCCUGGCUCUUGGGUCUGUGCCCACCCCACCCCACCCUCAGCUCCGAUAACAGUGCGCACUCGGGCCACCUGCCUCCCCCAGGCUUAACCAGUCCCCAGCCUCUGCACCUUGGUGGAUUCUUUUCAGGGAGGGUCAUGGAGGGCUGAAGUUGCACCAUGGUGGGUUUCCCCACUCAAGUGUCUUCAAUACUAGACCCUGGGAAUACCUGUUCUUCAAAAAAUGGCAGAACUGUAGAACUGUGGCCUAGAUCAGGGUGGAUGGGACAGGACACUGUCUGAGGUGCAUGUCUCUCUCUCUCUCUCUCUCUCUCUCUCUCUCUCUCUCUCUCUCUCUCUCUGUGUGUGUGUGUGUGUGUGUGUGUGUGUAUAGUGGAGAGUUCACAGACUUUAGCAUUUUGAACUGAGUUCAUAGACACUUUGUUUUCUCAUAAUUAUAAAUCCUACGUUUAUCUGUGAGGCUUCCAGAACAUGACAUUAAAUGUUGGGGUUUUCUCCUAAUAAAAGCCCCACUGGCAGUGAUGGGUAGUGCCCAAUGUCCAUCUCUGGUGUAGAGAACAUGCCUUGGGCUGUUGCUGGUAGCCUGAGAAUGCCAGUUUUGUAAGCGGAACUUCCUGUGGGCAGUGCCCAUUGCCUUCUAGAAGGUGCUUUGUGCUUUGUACACAGGCUGCAGCAGGCAUCUGUGCACACGGCCCUCUGUGUGGUCUCAACCAGAUGGUGCCUCCCGAGACGCUGAGGCCCCGGCCCCUCUGACCUGACCCCACAUUCCUUCGCACUGAGCCAGUUGUGGCUGCCAUGAUGGCACACGAGCGCCGGUUGGCGCGAACCCUCAUGAGCAUCCUGGUCCGCGCUGGACCCUCAGCACUGUCUAAAGUUGGGGUGCUCUUCCUGGGGCAUUCCACCUUGGACUCGGGGAACUCAGUGCUUGCCCUCAGUUCCAUGCCUAAGCACACAGACAGCUGAAGCCUAGAACUUACCAUGCGAUCGAUCACCCUAAAUCUCUCUCCAUACUCCUGCCUGGGCUAGGAAAGGUGAUCUGAUCAGAACACAGAGGGAGGAUAAAACAAAAGCCCUCAUCUUGACUCUCUUGUGUUUUCUGUAGUCAGCAACGCCCUGUUGUUGCUUUGAAGAGACUCUCCCUGUCAGCCUCUGAAAGCUGCAUCUUGUUCUUCAUCCAUGACUGACAGGGUGAUCGCCCAUAACUCCUUGCUGUAGAUUUCCUGGACUUUCUAAAUCCAAAGAUUAUUGGGGAGAUGGGUCCCUAAAACAGCAGCUGACUUAGGCUCUCUGAUUCUCAAGAGCCUGAUGACUUUUAUAGUCAGGAGGACUCUGGGAGGAGGUGAGGGAGGGAGGGAGUGUGUCCCUGGAUCAAGAAAGGGGUAUCAAAGCAGAGCCCUCUGCUCUAGGUAGUGGCCAUGUGCAGUGAGGGGAAUGGUCCUCUGAGUCCUUCAGAAGGUCGCACUGUGAGAGCUGAGUAAAAACACCCCUUGCAUGCAGGGACUGCCAAGCCUGGUCCUUGUGUGUGAGACCCUCUCUCUCCUCACCUACUUAGCCCAGAGCCUUUGGUGACAUGCUCCUCAGCCAGUGCCCCACUAGCUGCCUCCCUGUCCCCAGCUUCCUGAGUCUUGGAGCUUGGGCAGGCAGUGCGGCUCUGUACAAGCUGCACCAGCCCCUUCCUGCCUGUGGACAGGGCUCCCUCUAAAGUCAUUCACAGGCCAGUCAGGACACGGCUGCUCACAGGUGAGGAACCUUCAAACCAAAAGGCAGAUUGUUUGCGACCAGCCCGGCUUGCAGAGAGCCUAGCUUUACAGUGCCCCACCCCCAUGUUUAUGAGUGUUUUGCCUGCACAUGUGUCUGCACCAUGUGCAUGCCAGUACUGUGGAGGCCAGAGGAGGAUGUUGGAUCCCUGGAGCAGGAGUUACAGACAGUUGUAAGCCAACAUGUGGUUGCUAAAAUUCCAACCCAGGUCCUCUGGAAGAGCAGCCAAUGAGUGUUCGUAGCUGUUAAGCCGUCUCUUCAGCCCCAUUCAGUACCUUCUCCCUGGGCAUGAGGCCUGCUUACCCGCAUACCCUUUGAAGUGAUGCUUGGAGGUGUGGGGCACUCAGGGAGUACUGCACCCCAGCUUUUUUCCUGCUUUCUUGGCCUUUCUCCACUGGCACAGUCCUGAGUAACCUCUUGCCUGCUCAUUCUCUGGGAACCUCGUUCCCUCCCCUCCCAGGAACUCAGGUCUCCCUGUCACUGCCCCCAGGAAAACAAAUUAUGUGGUUUAUUACUACCUAGGCCUUGGUUUAAAGUCCUUUGUUGAGAUGCGAGUCAUGCAUAGUUCACCCUGUGAAUGUCCUGCCCAGUGGUUCUUGGUGUUUUCACAGACCUGUGAUCGCUGUAUACUAGUCCCUGCCAUCAGCUUUAGAGCUCUUAUCAUUCUAGAAACCAUACCUGCCAGUAGCCACUGCCAUUCCUGCCCCACAGUCUGUCACCCUGGGCCCCAGGCGCCAUUUAUCUAUGUGUCUGUAUAUUCCCUGUGUUUAAACUUAAAUACAGUAAAUACAGAAAAACAUCUGAUGACAUCCAGCAACCCUCAAUGACCAAUUCUGAGCAAAUUAGACAGAAAACAACACACCUCAACAUAAAGGGCAGAUAUGAAAACUCCAGGUAGCAUUGUCCUGAGUGAGCAGUUUUCCUUCACUGUCUAAACAAGGCAAGGAUAACCUUUUGUUGUUGUUGAUUAGCUGUCUGACAUGACCCUAGAAGAUUGGCUCGAGCAUCACACCUGGGAAGGGGGAUAAAAUUACCAUUUAGAAAUGACAUGAAAUUAUAUAGACACAAAUCCAAAACACUAUCAGAUUUAAACAAGGAAAAGUUGCAGGACACACAAACAGCAUCUCCAUAUUCUAACAGUGAGUUAUCUAGAAAAAUCAACAAUCGAUAGUGAGUUAUCUAGAAAAAUCAACAAUCAAUAGUGAGUUAUCUAGAACAAUCAACAAUCAAUAGUGAGUUAUCUAGAACAAUCAACAAUCAAUAGUGAGUUAUCUAGAACAAUCAACAAUCAAUAGUGAGUUAUCUAGAAAAAUCAAUCAAUAGUGAGUUAUCUAGAAAAAUCAACAAUAGUGAGUUAUCUAGAAAAAUCAACAAUCAAUAGUGAGUUAUCUAGAAAAAUCAACAAUCAAUAGUGAGUUAUCUAGAAAAAUCAACAAUCGAUAGUGAGUUAUCUAGAAAAAAUCAACAAUCGAUAGUGAGUUAUCUAGAAAAAUCAAUAAUCGAUAGUGAGUUAUCUAGAAAAAUCAACAAUCAAUAGUGAGUUAUCUAGAACAAUCAACAAUCAAUAGUGAGUUAUCUAGAACAAUCAACAAUCAAUAGUGAGUUAUCUAGAACAAUCAACAAUCAAUAGUGAGUUAUCUAGAAAAAUCAACAAUCAGUGAGUUAUCUAGAAAAAUCAACAAUAGUGAGUUAUCUAGAAAAAUCAACAAUCAAUUGUGAGUUAUCUAGAAAAAUCAAUAAUAGUGAGUCAUUUAGAAAAAGAAUCAGUAGUCAAUAGUGAGUUAUCUAGAAAAAUCAACAAUCCAAAUCCAUCAUCAUUUUAAAAAGUAUAAACUGGCAUAAGAGAGAUGGCUCAGCAGAUAGAGAGGCUUGCUGCCAAGCCUGAUGGCCGGAGUUCAAUCCCCAAGAAUGGAGGAAGGAAAGAACUGACCCUUGCAAGGAGUGCUUUCACUUGCCCAUAUAUUCCCACUCACUCAAUAAAGUAAACCGCUUAGGAGCAAACUUAAUGAGGGAGAAAAGGCUUUCUACAGCAGAAACCUUAAGACAUUGGUAAGAACUGAAAAGAGCAGGGCUGGAGAGAUUGCUCGACUCCUAAGAACGUUUGCUGCUCUUGCAGAGGACCUGGGCUAGGUUCCCAGCACCUGAGUGGCAGCUCACAAACAUAGGUAACUCCAGUUCCAGGGGAUCCAGUGCCCUCUUUUGGCCCUGAGGAUACUACAAACAUGGGGUGCACAUACAUGCAUGUAGACAAACCGUUAUACGCACACAUAUAGUAGAAAAACACAUAAAAUAAAAAUAGGGACUGGAGAGAUGGCUCAGCAGUUAAGAGCACUGACUACUCUUCCUGAGGUCCUGAGUUCAAUUCCCAGCAACCACAUGGUGGCUCACAACCAUCUGUAAUGAGGUCUGAUGCCCUCUUGUGGUGUGUGAAGACAGCUACAGUGCACUCACAUAUAAAAUAAAUAAAAAUAAAUCUUUAAGGCCAUACUUAAAUGGAUACUGAAAAUGUUUUGCAUAGUUAGUGUGGCCCUAUUGAAACAGCAAGGACACCAUCACAGAACCAGAAGUUACUCUAACAUCUGUGUAGGACGACAAAUGGCCCCAGUAACCCACUCACCUUUAGCAAACCGAACAAAGCUAUGGGACUUGAACUGCCUGCCCUUAAAAUCUGCAAAAGGCCACUGUGGCCACAGGGAGACAGCACUGCCACAAAGAAGAGUCUGAUGUGUGGCCCAGCACAACGGCGAAGUCAGUUUGUAGUGGGUGUUUCAAAUUUUUAAAAGUUCCAAGAAGACAUUUAAGGAAGAAGGCUGUCUCAUCAAUGAAUGUUGAGAAAACCAGAUGCCCAGAUACAGAAAGACAAGACCAGAAGCAGGGGUGCUGUCCAUGGUCAUCACAGCACUUCCGAGGGGUUGGCAAGAGGCAUGUGUGUUUGAGGCCAGCCUGAGCAAGUGCAGUGAGUUCAAGGCAAGUCUGGGACACUCACUGAGAUACUCAAAAACAAACCUCCAACAAAGCCUGACUGGAUAAAAGAACCAGGUCCAAGUCACAGAUGCUUCAGUGUAGCACCAGCAACCUUGACUACAAGAAGACAGAAGGAUUGGUGACAGUGUUUUAGGCAAAGGUGUUUGGAUAAAACUUCAGAAACAGCAGACAAAAGCAAAAAUCAGUUUCUGGGAUCAGGUUAAUUUAGAAAGCUGACCAUUAAAAACCUCUAAGGAGUUGGUCACAGAGUGGGAGGAAACCCUCGUAAACCACGCAUCUGAUAAGAACUAGCAUCUGAAACCUAGAAGGAACUCUGCGGACUGACAAGGAAAUAAGCAACCCAUUGAGAAGGGUGGGAGGCCUAGACACCUCUCCCAAAAUGGCAAACACUGGUCAAGUGUAUAGAAAAUACUAAUAUCACCAAUUGUCAAGGAAACUCAAGCAAAGACCAAAAUAAAUGUGACUAACCUGUUAGACUGGCAGCCAUCAAAAGCAUAAUGGUGGGGCUGGGGAUUUAGCUCAGUGGUAGAGCGCUUACCUAGGAAGCGCAAGGCCCUGGGUUCGGUCCCCAGCUCCGAAAAAAGAACCAAAAAAAAAAAAAAAAAAAAACAUAAUGGUGAGGACGAAGAAAGGGGACCUGAGCUCACCAUGGGGACGUAAGUCAGUAAUAUAGUUAUCAUGGAAGGUAGUGUGGAGGGUUAUCAGAAAGGGACAAAAGGGGCUGGAGAGAUGGCUCAGCGGUUAAGAGCACCCGACUGCUCUUCCAGAGGUCACGAGUUCAAUUCCCAGCAACCACAUGGUGGCUCACAACCAUCUGUAAAGAGUUCUGAUGCCCUCUUCUGGUGUAUCUGAAGACAGCUACAGUGUACUUAUAUAUAAUAAAUAAAUAAAUCUUUAAAAAAAAAAAAAAAAAAAAAAAAAAAAAAAAAAAAAGAAAGGGACAAAAGAAA